GGCGGCCCCGACAGAGCCUUCAUUCUGGGAAUUCACCGCCUCGACAUUAAAGAUAAUAGGAAUGCACGCAGGCUAUUUCCAGUAAUAUAGAUUUCCCUCGAUCCUGAUGGAAAAACACGGCGAGAGGUUUUCUCAGAGAGGUAUGCGGAACACACAGCAGAGGAGAAUUACGAAGGAGGAAAGUUUACAGUAUCUACACAGACUGAGGAAACAGCAGAGGCUUGAAAGAGCCGCCCGGGGCUCAGCAUUAAACAUGAAGAUAACGGUUGUGUUAGUUUAAUUUUGAAACCAAGAAUCUUAAUUUGUUGUUUGAUGACGCAGCCACGGCUUUGGAUUUGCACUCCACGCUGAGAACACAGACCAGGACUGCAGCUGAAUUGAUUUUCAUGGCGUUAAAUCAACUCAGUCUUUCAAACACUGUAACCUCCCUGCGCUUCACCGCUGUGACAUGACAGCGACUGGAGUAGACGUCUGACUGUACAGCUGUUGGUGUAAAUUAAAACAUCUUGAAUCAGGGAUUUAAUUACCUCAACGCAACACCAACAACACUAAGUCCAUCUUAAGCAUGUACAAUAUUUACAUGUAACAGGAGGGAUUUCUAUGCAUUAAACAUACUGGGUUAUAAAUCCACAAGAGAUUACAUACAGAUACACAAAAUACACAAAAGAUUUUAUUCAGAAUUUCCUUUCAUAUUGUGUUUUUCAUACAAACAUUGUUGAUACAAAACGUGUAUUGGAGGCAGGACAUGAGGACUGAAACAUGUGACUACGCAUUUACAAUUCAGUUCAGUCUGUUAUAUUGUAAACUGCAGAUCUAUUUUUAACAACAAUGGAAGAUUCAGACAGAUGAGUUUCAUAGUAACAAGGCCAACUGUCUGCGUUUCAGCCUGACUCUUUUCCAAAUGGAGGAAAUCAUCAAUAAACAUGAAUGAUUUUU